GAACGCUGGCGGCGUGCCUAACACAUGCAAGUCGAGCGGAGGGGAGAGAAGUUUACUUCUUGAACCUUAGCGGCGGACGGGUGAGUAACACGUGGGUAACCUGCCCUUGAGAGGGGGAUAACAGGUCGAAAGGCCUGCUAAUACCGCAUAACGCUAAGAUGCCGCAUGGCGUCUUAGCCAAAGGUUAAUUCCGCUCAAGGAUGGGCCCGCGGCCCAUUAGCUAGUUGGUGAGGUAAUGGCUCACCAAGGCGACGAUGGGUAGCCGGCCUGAGAGGGUGGUCGGCCACACUGGGACUGAGACACGGCCCAGACUCCUACGGGAGGCAGCAGUGGGGAAUAUUGCGCAAUGGGGGAAACCCUGACGCAGCGACGCCGCGUGAGCGAUGAAGGCCUUCGGGUUGUAAAGCUCUGUCUUCCCUGACGAUAAU
rnacentral:rRNA from 1 species